rnacentral:rRNA from 1 species
AGUGAACGCUGGCGGUAGGCCUAACACAUGCAAGUCGAACGGCAGCACAGUAAGAUCUUGCUCUUACGGGUGGCGAGUGGCGGACGGGUGAGGAAUACAUCGGAAUCUACUUUUUCUUGGGUGAUAACGUAGGGAAACUUACGCUAAUACCGCAUACGAUCUACGGGUGAAAUCAGUGGUUCUUCGCACCUUUCGCGUUUGUAUUAGCCGAUGUCGGAUUAGCUAGUUGGCUGGGUAAAGGCCCACCAAGGCGACGAUCCGUAGCUGGUCUGAGAGGAUGAUCAGCCACACUGGAACUGAGACACGGUCCAGACUCCUACGGGAGGCAGCAGUGGGGAAUAUUGGACAAUGGGCGCAAGCCUGAUCCAGCCAUACCGCGUGGGUGAAGAAGGCCUUCGGGUUGUAAAGCCCUUUUGUUGGGAAAGAAAAGAAGCAGGAUAAUACCCCGAUGUUCUGACGGUACCCAAAGAAUAAGCACCGGCUAACUUCGUG